GUGGGGAAUAUUGCACAAUGGGCGCAAGCCUGAUGCAGCGACGCCGCGUGAGGGAUGACGGCCUUCGGGUUGUAAACCUCUUUCAGCAGGGAAGAAGCCUUAAAAAGUGACGGUACCUGCAGAAGAAGCACCGGCUAACUACGUGCCAGCAGCCGCGGUAAUACGUAGGGUGCAAGCGUUGUCCGGAAUUAUUGGGCGUAAAGAGCUCGUAGGCGGCGUGUCGCGUCGGAUGUGAAAGCCCGGGGCUUAACCCCGGGUUGGCAUUCGAUACGGGCAGGCUAGAGUUCGGUAGGGGAGAUUGGAAUUCCUGGUGUAGCGGUGAAAUGCGCAGAUAUCAGGAGGAACACCGGUGGCGAAGGCGGAUCUCUGGGCCGAUACUGACGCUGAGGAGCGAAAGCGUGGGGAGCGAACAGGAUUAGAAACCCGUGUAGUCC
rnacentral:rRNA from 1 species